UACGUAGGGUGCGAGCGUUAAUCGGAAUUACUGGGCGUAAAGCGUGCGCAGGCGGUUUUGUAAGCCAGAUGUGAAAUCCCCGGGCUUAACCUGGGAAUGGCAUUUGGGACUGCAAGGCUUGAGUGCGGCAGAGGGGGAUGGGAAUUCCGCGUGUAGCAGUGAAAUGCGUAGAUAUGCGGAGGAACACCGAUGGCGAAGGCAAUCCCCUGGGCCUGUACUGACGCUCAUGCACGAAAGCGUGGGGAGCAAACAGG
rnacentral:rRNA from 1 species